UCAGAAUGAACGCUGGCGGCGUGCUUAACACAUGCAAGUCGCACGAGAACACCUCAGCUUGCUGGGGUAAGUAAAGUGGCGCACGGGUGAGUAACGCGUGGGUAAUCUGCCCUCGAAUCUGGGAUAACCCCGCGAAAGCGGGGCUAAUACCGGAUGAAAUCCAGUUAGCUUUGGCUAUAUGGAUCAAAGGUGGCCUCUGCAUGCAAGCUACUGUUUGGGGAUGAGCCCGCGUACCAUUAGCUUGUUGGUGGGGUAAAGGCCCACCAAGGCGACGAUGGUUAGCUGGUCUGAGAGGAUGAUCAGCCACACUGGAACUGGAACACGGUCCAGACUCCUACGGGAGGCAGCAGUGAGGAAUUUUGCGCAAUGGGGGUAACCCUGACGCAGCAACGCCGCGUGAGUGAUGAAGGCCUUCGGGUCGUAAAGCUCUGUCAAGUGGGAAGAACCCAUUCCGGCACAACAAGCCGGGGUGCUGACGGUACCACUGAAGGAAGCACCGGCUAACUCCGUGCCAGCAGCCGCGGUAAUACGGAGGGUGCGAGCGUUAUUCGGAAUUACUGGGCGUAAAGGGCGCGUAGGCGGCCGAUUAAGUCAGAUGUGAAAUCCCGGGGCUUACCCCCGGAAGUGCAUUUGAUACUGAACGGCUUGAGUAUGGGAGAGGGAAGUGGAAUUCCUGGUGUAGCGGUGAAAUGCGUAGAUAUCAGGAGGAACACCGGUGGCGAAGGCGACUUCCUGGACCAAUACUGACGCUGAGGCGCGAAGGCGUGGGGAGCAAACAGGAUUAGAUACCCUGGUAGUCCACGCAG
rnacentral:rRNA from 1 species